CCAAAUUCCGGUUAGGGUAGGUGUCAUUAUAUGCUCGUAUACACUGGUCAUUCGUUUCCGUAUUGCACGUUUGAACACUUGUGUUUCACCUUGUUCAUUCGCCGACGUUUUUAUCCGAAAGAAUAAUUUAAAAUGGGUUACUCUCUUAUCCCUGUGCGAUAUUGGUUCAAGAAACUUCUAGAAGACAAAAAUGAAUACCAGAGUUCGCCCAUAAUGAGUGUUGAAGUAUCUAAUCCAAUACAAAACGACAAUCGAGGACAAAUAACAAUUAUUCAUCAACAACAUUUUUGGACGCCAAGACCUCAAUGUUUAUUGAGAAAACAGGGUUCAAAUGAAAACGCCAUUGACUGAUGUUGCCGAAGUCACUCAAAUAAUGUAUACAAUUAAUUGUAAAGAAACUAUAUUCAAUCAAAUCAUUCACUCGUUCAACAUCACUCAACACACCAG